rnacentral:lncRNA from 12 species
CAUGUGCACUGUGAUACAGAGUAUUAAAAUAUCUAUUUGUACGAUAAGAUAGUUGCACUAAAACUGCACAUGGGAAAAUUUGGUGUCAUUUUAACCAUCAGUUUUGAAAAUAAAGCUCUCAGAGUUAUAGUAGUAACAGAGUUGGACUUUCACAUUUAAUCUGAGAAAGAAAUGCAAAGAAUGCCAGAAUAUGAAAAACAGCAUUAGCUUAUCAGUCACUGACUGACUCGGCAAGUGACGCUUUUGUGUGCAGUCCAGAGCGGGGCUCUGCAGAGGAAAGAUGUGUAAGACAAACUCCUUCCCACAAGAAAAGCUUCCAAUCCACCUACUCUUCCCCUGAAUUUUCCUUUCACAACUUCUUGGUUUCAUUCACUGAGCUGCUCCACAUACCAGGCAUUGUGUGAUGAGCUCUCACGGUGCUCUUUCAUGGAGGAAACGGGCAAGGAAACAGAUUACUAAUGUGAGCUAAGAGCUAUGAUUCAGAUAAUGAGGGAUGCUAAGAAAGCUUAGUGGAGGUCAUAUGGACAGGAUAUAAGGUCAGAGAAUGCUUCCCAGAGGUCAUGGCACCUGAGUUGCAUCAGAAGAAGUUUACCUAAUGUAUAUUUAAUUACGGUUUAAGGUGGUGGUUCUUGGGUGAUGGUUCUGGGUUGGCAGCUGAGCUAACAGCAAACUGGACUUUCCUGGAGUUUGUGGGCCAUGGAGCCAUGGGCCCUAAGCCUGGUUCGUGCCUAGCCAACAGAAGGCUCAACUUGCAAGCUCCACCCAGACAGGUCACCCUCUUGAAUUCCUGUUUCCAAUCUAGGAGCAGGCUGCAUCUAUUACCCACUUGCUGCCCUCUUACAACUCCUCGAAGUCACUCAAGUGAAAAAAAAAAAGGCAUCCUGAUGUUGAAGACGUCUCCUGAGUGAGUUUUGCUUGCAUCAGUUGCUUACUCCGAGGAGGCAGAUGAUCAAAGGUGACCCUGGGAC